rnacentral:sRNA from 1 species
ACCCCCUCCCAUUCUUGGAGACUCUUUCCUGUCGGACUCAGAGGUCUGAGGGAGGCAGGUCAAGUGCUGUGUGGCUAGGACCCAUGGCUAUGAACUUGCAGGAAAAUGUGACCUUGGCCAUGGCCGUGUUAACCAUCCUAGCCUCCAUCUACUUCUUCAACAAGGCUCAGCAGUAAGAAGGCAUGGCUCCCCAGUCCACCAGCUUGGCCCCCGCCUGCUCUGCCAUUGCUCUGGCCUCUAAGAUCCAAUAAAUGUUAACAGCACCAGACCAAGGCUUCCUGCUCCCUAAGCUCUGCUCCCUACAACCCUGUUCCUCAUAGGUCCACACAACCAUGGAUCUCAGCAGGAAGCAAACUCCUAUUGAACCGUUAUCACCUGCCAUCAAAUCCCUAUCUGAUAGAAGUGUCCAGAACCCCAAAUAGAGGGAAUCUGUUAGCAGCGCACUCCAUCACCUUCCUGCCUCCUCCAACCUUCCCAAGGGAGUGAGUGCCCUGAGGGACAGACACACCUGCCCAAGAAAGUUCAUUUGUAUGCUCUGGGUCUUCUGGACAAGGACUAGAAAUUUCCAAUCACGAACAUAUUCGCAAA